UACGAAGGGUGCAAGCGUUGUUCGGAAUUACUGGGCGUAAAGCGCGCGUAGGCGGGCUGGUAAGUCGAUUGUGAAAUCCCUGGGCUUAACCCGGGAACUGCAGUCGAAACUACCGGUCUUGAGUGCCUGAGAGGAUGGCGGAAUUCCCGGUGUAGUAGUGAAAUACGUAGAUAUCGGGAAGAACACCUGAGGCGAAGGCGGCUAUCUGGCGGUGCACUGACGCUGAGGCGCGAAAGCGUGGGGAGCAAACAGG
rnacentral:rRNA from 1 species